CACUAUCGUUAACUGAAUACAUAGGUUAACGAGGCGAACCGGGGGAACUGAAACAUCUAAGUACCCCGAGGAAAAGAAAUCAACCGAGAUUCCCCCAGUAGCGGCGAGCGAACGGGGAGCAGCCCAGAGUCUGAAUCAGCUUGUGUGUUAGUGGAACGGUCUGGAAAGUCCGACGGUACAGGGUGAUAGUCCCGUACACCAAAAUGCACAGGUUGUGAACUCGAAGAGUAGGGCGGGACACGUGGUAUCCUGUCUGAAUAUGGGGGGACCAUCCUCCAAGGCUAAAUACUCCUGACUGACCGAUAGUGAACCAGUACCGUGAGGGAAAGGCGAAAAGAACCCCGGCGAGGGGAGUGAAAAAGAACCUGAAACCGUGUACGUACAAGCAGUGGGAGCACCUUCGGGUGUGACUGCGUACCUUUUGUAUAAUGGGUCAGCGACUUAUAUUCUGUAGCAAGGUUAACCGUAUAGGGGAGCCGCAGGGAAACCGAGUCUUAACUGGGCGUUAAGUUGCAGGGUAUAGACCCGAAACCCGGUGAUCUAGCCAUGGGCAGGUUGAAGGUUGGGUAACACUAACUGGAGGACCGAACCGACUAAUGUUGAAAAAUUAGCGGAUGACUUGUGGCUGGGGGUGAAAGGCCAAUCAAACCGGGAGAUAGCUGGUUCUCCCCGAAAGCUAUUUAGGUAGCGCCUCGUGAACUCAUCUUCGGGGGUAGAGCACUGUUUCGGCUAGGGGGUCAUCCCGACUUACCAACCCGAUGCAAACUACGAAUACCGAAGAAUGUUAUCACGGGAGACACACGGCGGGUGCUAACGUCCGUCGUGAAGAGGGAAACAACCCAGACCGCCAGCUAAGGUCCCAAAGUCAUGGUUAAGUGGGAAACGAUGUGGGAAGGCACAGACAGCCAGGAUGUUGGCUUAGAAGCAGCCAUCAUUUAAAGAAAGCGUAAUAGCUCACUGGUCGAGUCGGCCUGCGCGGAAGAUGUAACGGGGCUAAACCAUGCACCGAAGCUGCGGCAGCGACACUAUGUGUUGUUGGGUAGGGGAGCGUUCUGUAAGCCUGCGAAGGUGACCUGUGAGGGUUGCUGGAGGUAUCAGAAGUGCGAAUGCUGACAUAAGUAACGAUAAAGCGGGUGAAAAGCCCGCUCGCCGGAAGACCAAGGGUUCCUGUCCAACGUUAAUCGGGGCAGGGUGAGUCGACCCCUAAGGCGAGGCCGAAAGGCGUAGUCGAUGGGAAACAGGUUAAUAUUCCUGUACUUGGUGUUACUGCGAAGGGGGGACGGAGAAGGCUAUGUUAGCCGGGCGACGGUUGUCCCGGUUUAAGCAUGUAGGCUGGUUGUCCAGGCAAAUCCGGAUAAUCAAGGCUGAGGUGUGAUGACGAGGCACUACGGUGCUGAAGUAACAAAUGCCCUGCUUCCAGGAAAAGCCUCUAAGCAUCAGGUAACAUUAAAUCGUACCCCAAACCGACACAGGUGGUCAGGUAGAGAAUACCAAGGCGCUUGAGAGAACUCGGGUGAAGGAACUAGGCAAAAUGGUGCCGUAACUUCGGGAGAAGGCACGCUGGUGUGUAGGUGAAGUCCCUGCGGAUGGAGCUGAGACCAGUCGAAGAUACCAGCUGGCUGCAACUGUUUAUUAAAAACACAGCACUGUGCAAACACGAAAGUGGACGUAUACGGUGUGACGCCUGCCCGGUGCCGGAAGGUUAAUUGAUGGGGUUAUCCGUAAGGAGAAGCUCUUGAUCGAAGCCCCGGUAAACGGCGGCCGUAACUAUAACGGUCCUAAGGUAGCGAAAUUCCUUGUCGGGUAAGUUCCGACCUGCACGAAUGGCGUAAUGAUGGCCAGGCUGUCUCCACCCGAGACUCAGUGAAAUUGAACUCGCUGUGAAGAUGCAGUGUACCCGCGGCAAGACGGAAAGACCCCGUGAACCUUUACUAUAGCUUGACACUGAACAUUGAGCCUUGAUGUGUAGGAUAGGUGGGAGGCUUUGAAGCGUGGACGCCAGUCUGCGUGGAGCCAACCUUGAAAUACCACCCUUUAAUGUUUGAUGUUCUAACGUUGGCCCCUUACCGGGGUUGCGGACAGUGUCUGGUGGGUAGUUUGACUGGGGCGGUCUCCUCCCAAAGCGUAACGGAGGAGCACGAAGGUUAGCUAAUCCUGGUCGGACAUCAGGAGGUUAGUGCAAUGGCAUAAGCUAGCUUGACUGCGAGCGUGACGGCGCGAGCAGGUGCGAAAGCAGGUCAUAGUGAUCCGGUGGUUCUGAAUGGAAGGGCCAUCGCUCAACGGAUAAAAGGUACUCCGGGGAUAACAGGCUGAUACCGCCCAAGAGUUCAUAUCGACGGCGGUGUUUGGCACCUCGAUGUCGGCUCAUCACAUCCUGGGGCUGAAGUAGGUCCCAAGGGUAUGGCUGUUCGCCAUUUAAAGUGGUACGCGAGCUGGGUUUAGAACGUCGUGAGACAGUUCGGUCCCUAUCUGCCGUGGGCGCUGGAGAAUUGAGGGGGGCUGCUCCUAGUACGAGAGGACCGGAGUGGACGCAUCACUGGUGUUCGGGUUGUCAUGCCAAUGGCACUGCCCGGUAGCUAAAUGCGGAAGAGAUAAGUGCUGAAAGCAUCUAAGCACGAAACUUGCCCCGAGAUGAGUUCUCCCUGAGACUUUAAGUCUCCUGAAGGAACGUUAAAGACGAUGACGUUGAUAGGCCGGGUGUGUAAGCGCAGCGAUGCGUUGAGCUAACCGGUACUAAUGAACCGUGAGGCUUAACCUU
rnacentral:rRNA from 1 species